AAAAAUAUGGAUUUUAUAUACACUUGCAUUGUACAAUAAAACAUUUGAUUCAUUAUUUACAUAAAAUUAAAAUUAAACUGGAAUGAUAAAACACAUUUCAAAAUAAAGUUACAAAACUAUAUUAAAAAAAAUCCAUAUCUCUUGUGAUUAUUAGGAACGCAUUGUAUUGUUUAUUUUGUCAACUGUAAAUUAAACAGUAACUAUACCAAAUAUUUAAGGUGAAAUCAAACAACUUGACUAAAAUUAAUUUGCCUCGUUUAAUUUUCACAAAUUUUUACAAAAUAUUUGAUUUGACCCUUGCAUUUUUUUUUAAUUACAAAAAACUUGAACCAUGCAUUUAUCAGAAAAAAAUCAUUUGAUAUAUAGCAGUUUGACAAACACUUAUUUUGAUCAUUGAGAAGCUUAACAUUUCCCUAAUAAUACUUUGUAUUUAAAACAUUCAGCUGAUUUUAACAGAGUUAUCUCCCUGUUGUGUUAUGAACCACCUUGGUGCAAAUUUACUUGACUUCAUUUUUAUGAUUUACUUGUGUCUCAUCCAUUUUGCUUUUACAUAAAGACAAUAUCAAAUACACAUGUGACUCCAUGCAGAAUGCUUGUUUUUACCAUGGCCUUUGAUAAUCUCUAAAUCUCUAUAGUACAGUUUUGCCUUUUAUUUUAAAAAAAUAUUUUAACCUUGGGUAUUUCACCCACAAAUCAAUAUCUACCUACUUCUUUGGCUUCAAAACUCUUGACCUCAUUUGCCAUGUUGAGGAUAAAUUAGGAAAAGUGCUUAUUAACCUUGACAUGAUGCCUUUUAUUUUAGUUAAUGUUUGAUAUUUAGAUAAACUGACCACAUGAAAAACUUUUAACAAGCAAUGGCACUACCAAACAGUAAGCCCAAGUUAAGCCUUUGAAAAUUUUUAGAAGGCCAGAAAAAAAGCGCAAUAUCUGAGCUAUUUAAGGAGCAACAGUGCUGUAUUUUUAUACUUGCUGGUUUCAAUUGUUGUUUUUAUUUUUUGCAAGCUGAUUUGUUUGAAAACAGGUAUUUAAAAAUAUUAAUCUAAGAUUGAUUAAUCAAAAAUAAAAAUAUGUUAAUGUUUUUCAUAUAAAUACAAUUGCUCAAUCAUGCCUGUUAUUUGAAUUUUAGAUAAAUGAUAGCCUUAUCAUCUGUAUAUGUGCAAAGCAUCCUAGCAGGUAUAUCAUAGAUUUUAAAUGUGCAAAAUAUAUGAAGUCAUCCAAUCAAAAUACUUAUCUAAAUUGAUUUA
rnacentral:lncRNA from 1 species